ACGAGUUCAAUUGGUUUUUAAAGCUGAUCAACUCCCACCCUAUGUUUAAUCAAAGUUGUACUUUGACGUUUUGUUCUUGGCAACUGUCGAUAAUCAGAUAAUGAUAUGGACAUAUAAACGUCAGAGGAUUUCUUUUAGCACUUGAGAAAUUUGAUGUGUCAGUACAAAAUUUUACAAAAUUA
rnacentral:misc_RNA from 1 species